rnacentral:lncRNA from 1 species
AUGAACUACAUAGGACCUCUCCUAAUCUAUCAAGAUCGAUAGAUCCCAUCUUAGUGUACAUCCUAUUCCUACAAUGAACCUACUGUAGCCAACAUACAUCUUAAGAUUUUAAAUAGCUAGAUAAUCAAGUAUUGGUGCAGUCAAACUACAGCAAUCCCACUGUGAACAGUCGAGGUACUGUAGGUCAAAGAACUAUCCACACAACUACAACUUUGAGUA